GGCGAACGGGUGAGUAAUGCAUCGGAACGUGCCCAUCUGUGGGGGAUAGCUCGGCGAAAGCCGGAUUAAUACCGCAUACGAUCUACGGAUGAAAGCGGGGGACCUUCGGGCCUCGCGCAGAUGGAGCGGCCGAUGUUAGAUUAGGUAGAUGGUGGGGUAAAGGCUCACCAAGCCAACCAUCUAUAGCUGGUCUGAGAGGACGAUCAGCCACACUGGGACUGAGACACGGCCCAGACACCUACGGGAGGCACCCAGUGGGGAAUUUUGGACAAUGGGCGCAAGCCUGAUCCAGCAAUACCGCGUGCAGGAAGAAGGCCUUCGGGUUGUAAACUGCUUUUGUACGGAACGAAAAGGUCUUGGCUAAUAUCCGAGGCUCAUGACGGUACCGUAAGAAUAAGCACGGGCUAACUACGUGCCAGCAGCCGCGGUAAUACGUAGGGUGCAAGCGUUAAUCGGAAUAACUGGGCGUAAAGCGUGCGCAGGCCGUUGUGUAAGACAGGUGUGAAAUCCCCGAGCUCAACUUGGGAAUUGCACUUGUGACAGCACAACUAGAGUGCGGCAGAGGGGGAUGGAAUUCCGCGUGUAGCAGUGA
rnacentral:rRNA from 1 species